rnacentral:rRNA from 1 species
CAGGCCUAACACAUGCAAGUCGAACGGUAACAGAAAGCAGCUUGCUGCUUUGCUGACGAGUGGCGGACGGGUGAGUAAUGUCUGGGAAACUGCCCGAUGGAGGGGGAUAACUACUGGAAACGGUAGCUAAUACCGCAUAACGUCCCAAGACCAAAGAGGGGGACCUUCGGGCCUCUUGCCAUCGGAUGUGCCCAGAUGGGAUUA